rnacentral:rRNA from 1 species
AGGGAAUAUUGCGCAAUGGGGAAACCCUGACGCAGCGACGCCGCGUGAAGGAAGAAGGUUUUCGGAUUGUAAACUUCUUUGACCGGGGACGAAGAAAGUGACGGUACCCGGGGAACAAGCCACGGCUAACUACGUGCCAGCAGCCGCGGUAAUACGUAGGUGGCGAGCGUUGUCCGGAAUUACUGGGUGUAAAGGGCGCGUAGGCGGGGAUGCAAGUCAGGUGUGAAAGACCACGGCUCAACCGUGGGGUUGCAUUUGAAACUGUAUUUCUUGAGUAUUGGAGAGGGAAGCGGAAUUCCUAGUGUAGCGGUGAAAUGCGUAGAGAUUAGGAGGAACACCAGUGGCGAAGGCGGCUUUCUGGCCAAAGACUGACGCUGAGGCGCGAAAGCGUGGGGAGCAAAC